rnacentral:rRNA from 1 species
GCAGCAGCCGCGGUAAAACCAGCACCUCGAGUGGUCAGGAGGUUUAUUGGGCCUAAAGCAUCCGUAGCCGGUUGCAUAAGUUUUCGGUUAAAUCUAUGCGCUUAACGUAUAGGCCGCCGAAAAUACUGUGCAGCUAGGGAGUGGGGGAGGUACACGGUACUCAAUAGGGAGGGGUAAAAUCCUUUGAUCUGUUGAUGACCACCUGUGGCGAAGGCGGUGUACCAGAACACGUUCGACGGUGAGGGAUGAAAGCUGGGGGAGCAAACCGGAUUAGAUAUCCGAGUAGUCCCUGUCUCUUAUAC